UGAGUUGUCACUGAGCUUUGGUGCCAGGAGAAAUGGACAAGAUCCUGGGAGCAUCAUUUUUAAUUCUAUGGCUUCGACUAGGCUGGGUGAGUGGCCAACAGAAGGAAAAAGGUGCCCAGCAGCAGGUGAAACAGAGCCCUCAAUCUUUGAUCUUCCAGGAAGGAGAGAUUUCAGUUCUGAACUGUACUUAUGAGAACAGUGCAUUUGACUAUUUCCCAUGGUACCGGCAAUACCCCGGUGAAGGCCCUGCAUUCCUGAUAGCCAUACGUUCAGGUUCACGUGUAAAUACAAGUGAAGGAAGAUUUACAGUUUCCUUCAAUAAAAGUGCCAAACAGUUCUCGUUGACCAUCACAGCUUCCCAGCCUGGAGACUCCGCCACCUACUUCUGUGCAGCAAGUGCACAGUGCUCUGUAGGCACCUGCAGCCCGUACCCAAAACUGCAGCUGAGGCUCCAGCCAAACCCUGCCGUGUGGAUGCAAUGUUCACACACACACACACACACAGAAUAUAUUUGA